UACAGAGGUCUCAAGCGUUGUUCGGAUUCAUUGGGCGUAAAGAGCUUGUAGGCGGUUUGUCGCGUCUGCUGUGAAAUUUCGGGGCUCAACCCCGAACUUGCAGUGGGUACGGGCAGACUAGAGUGUGGUAGGGGAGACUGGAAUUCCUGGUGUAGCGGUGAAAUGCGCAGAUAUCAGGAGGAACACCGAUGGCGAAGGCAGGUCUCUGGGCCAUAACUGACGCUGAGAAGCGAAAGCAUGGGGAGCGAACAGG
rnacentral:rRNA from 1 species